GUCUUGGCUACAUCGCAACCAAUUCAUAACUUUUGAGGGCUAAAUGGAAAAAAUUGAAAUAUUUGUGGUGUAAGUCCAAAUCGCAAGAAGUUGGAGUUUCCAUAUGAUUUAUCCUUAGAUAAAUAAUAUAAGAGCAAGAAUUUAACACCAAAAAUAAAACCACCAUCCACUAUAGUUAACCUCAUUCAAUGAUAAACUUCAAACACAUCCCAUAUACAUAAGUAUUCCAAAAAAAGUUUCAUAAACUAUUAAGUAGAAUAGUUCAAUUUAAUGGAAUAAAAUUAUUCGAUAAUUUUCCAAUCACCCUACAAUGCAAAUAAUGAUAUUAAUAUAAUAGUUUGAGCAUAUACAAAAAAAAUUUAGCAAAAUAAUUUUUAAAACAGCAUGCCAUAUUCAUUUACCUUAUCAUAAUAUAUAAAUUGAUGUUAAUUUAUUUGAGCUUUCAAUGGAGAUGGAAUAGCUAUCUGACAUAGAAUCAAGAUCAUAAACAAUGGAUGUAAUAGGAUCCAAAAUAAAAUUAAAAAAAUAACUAGUAAGAUACUUUAAAUGAGAUAAAUUUAAUAAAAAUAUUAUAUAUAAACCUAUAAUUUAUCUUUUCUCUCAAAUCUUAGCCAAUCCUAAAAUAAAUCAUAGCUUCAAUAAUAUCAUGAUCUAAUUAUUGAACUACAAAAUUUAUCUAUUACUCUUUUAUCUGUGUUAAAUGUUGAUUCUGAUGCUACCAUAGAUACUAAAAUUACCAAAUAUUUCUUACAACUAGAGGUAAGAUAUGAUACUAUAUAUGAACCAUUAGACUUUUACCUAGAUAAGAGAUCAAAGAUAUCACUUUCAAUGCAUGGAUUAGGGCUGAAAAUGAUUCGGUC
rnacentral:lncRNA from 1 species